CCAAUAGCGUAUAUUAAAGUUGUUGCAGUUAAAAAGCUCGUAGUUGAAUUUCGGGAUCAAUUUAUUGGUCGUGCUAUUGUACGUACUGGUAUUAUUGAUUCCUACCUUCUGACGAACCAUGAUGUCAUUAAUUUGGUGUCAUGGGGAAUCAGGACUGUUACUUUGAAAAAAUUAGAGUGUUUAAAGCAGGCUCACGCUUGAAUACAUUAGCAUGGAAUAACGAAAUAGGACGUUUGAUUCUAUUUUGUUGGUUUCUAGGAUCGACGUAAUGAUUAAUAGGG
rnacentral:rRNA from 1 species